GGCAGCGUGGCUGAGUGGUUAAAGUGUAUGAAUAUAUUCCUAGUCAUAGGUUCGAGUUCUAUCGUGGUCA